AGAGGUCGCUAAACUGCUUGCCAGCUGACAGAACUCUUGGGAAAGAGCGACAUAACUUCUACAGCAGCAUCACCAAUAAACGCGGAUUGAUUUUUAGGCAAAUCUACCACCUUCAUCACUGUGCGCAUAACAGGGAAACGUGCUAGAACUACGCCGUGUCAGGCAAGCGAAACGGAGACCCGGUUAUACAAGACCGAGUCUCUCAUUAUUCCUCUCCCAGGCAGAGCAGGACCGAGGCAGUUUGUGUCCAUCUAGCCUGUGCAUCGCGAAGAACAGGGAUCAGCCACUACAUAUGCAACCCUCAAGUGCUCUGCUUAUCUUCACAAACCCCUCUGUGGCUCUCACUACCACCCCACUCCCCCCCCCCCAGCCCGCUGGAAAAUGAUAGAUGACCAGGAGCAAAGGGAAGAAACAGGUUAAGAAAGGCAAGCUCAUUUCAUAACAGCACCUGUUAAUUAUUUGAAUUCUCUCUGUAACUCAUACACUUACUCUUGUUCAGUAAUAACAACCAUACCUUAGCAAUGGUGGUAGAGUAUAUCUUCAGCAUGUUUCAAAGCUGUCCACUGCACAGAUUCAAUCCUACAGCAGAAAAGAAAAAAAAACUAGGAAUUGACAUGGUUUUGCUACUAUUGUAUUGUCUUUCAUAACCAUGCCUGUGUUUGCUAUGUAAAGAUAGCCAAUUAACAUUUAUUAGGAAUAAAGUCUUUCCCUCAGCUAUAGGUACCCUUGCUUACCUCCAAGGGUUCUGCCGCUCUAGUAGUAUCCCCUGUGAGACAAUUCUGCUAUGUCCNNNNNNNNNNCCAUGCACUUCCACUAGGAUGGGCUGGGUGUUGGGUGCGUGUGUCUCUAUAGCCCUUAGUGCCCUGGCUCGAUCUAAUUACCCAUGAGUAAAGGACAAUAAUGCUUCAGCUGGUUUGUGUCAUUCUCCUCUCCCCAGCUCUGCUUAUCUUCACAAACCCCUCUGUGGCUCUCACUACCACCCCACUCCCCCCCCCCCAGCCCGCUGGAAAAUGAUAGAUGACCAGGAGCAAAGGGAAGAAACAGGUUAAGAAAGGCAAGCUCAUUUCAUAACAGCACCUGUUAAUUAUUUGAAUUCUCUCUGUAACUCAUACACUUACUCUUGUUCAGUAAUAACAACCAUACCUUAGCAAUGGUGGUAGAGUAUAUCUUCAGCAUGUUUCAAAGCUGUCCACUGCACAGAUUCAAUCCUACAGCAGAAAAGAAAAAAAAACUAGGAAUUGACAUGGUUUUGCUACUAUUGUAUUGUCUUUCAUAACCAUGCCUGUGUUUGCUAUGUAAAGAUAGCCAAUUAACAUUUAUUAGGAAUAAAGUCUUUCCCUCAGCUAUAGGUACCCUUGCUUACCUCCAAGGGUUCUGCCGCUCUAGUAGUAUCCCCUGUGAGACAAUUCUGCUAUGUCCNNNNNNNNNNGGCCCCCAACCCAUCAUCCCAUCCUUUGUUCCAGCACAGAUACAAAUGGGAUUAAUGAAGGUAUAAAUUACAGAGGAGUAAAUCCUGUUGAGUAAUCCAUUUGGCAAACAAGCAAAACAACAAUGGAGAAGCUUGCUUGCUGGGCCUGACCCACCCAGUCCCAGCCAGACAGCACAACGCUGAGAGGAGCACAGCACCGAGGACAGACAACAACACAGACAGACAGCAGGGGUGAAUUACAAACAGUAUGCAUUAGGGUGAAGGUGUUGUAAAAUGAUAGGUUUUUCUUGCUAUGAUCACUAUAUAGGAUUUGGUCAAGAUGUAAAUCAAGAAUAAUUCAUAUUUGAAAUUUGAGUUGGUACAUGACUAUUAAAUUGAUGCAUCAUAGUUUGAAGAGAUCUAUUGUGUUGAUGCUUAUUAUUAUUUAUUUUUAAAGCAGUUGGCAUGAAGUUCUGCACUUUUUUC
rnacentral:lncRNA from 13 species